AUAGCUCAGCGGUAGAGCAAUCGCCUGCAGAGCGAUAGGGUAAGAUUUAGUCUCCUUC
rnacentral:tRNA from 1 species